rnacentral:rRNA from 1 species
UGGGGAAUAUUGGGCAAUGGGCGAAAGCCUGACCCAGCAACGCCGCGUGAGGGAAGAAGGCCUUCGGGUUGUAAACCUCUGUCCUUGGUGACGAAAAAAAUGACGGUAGCCAAGGAGGAAGCCCCGGCUAACUACGUGCCAGCAGCCGCGGUAAUACGUAGGGGGCGAGCGUUGUCCGGAGUUACUGGGCGUAAAGGGUGCGUAGGCGGCCGAUUAAGUUGGAUGUGAAAUACCCGGGCUUAACCGUGGGGGGUGCAUCCAAUACUGGUUGGCUAGAGUGCAGGAGAGGGAAGCGGAAUUCCUAGUGUAGCGGUGAAAUGCGUAGAUAUUAGGAGGAACACCAGUGGCGAAGGCGGCUUUCUGGACUGUAACUGACGCUGAUGCACGAGAGCGUGGGGAG